rnacentral:rRNA from 1 species
AUUGAACGCUGGCGGCAGGCCUAACACAUGCAAGUCGAACGAGUGGCGGACGGGUUAGUAAUGUCUGGGAAACUGCCUGAUGGAGGGGGAUAACUACUGGAAACGGUAGCUAAUACCGCAUCCCAUCAGAUGUGCCCAGAUGGGAUUAGCUUGUUGGUGGGGUCACGGCUCACCAAGGAGACGAUCCCUUACUGGUCUGAGAGGAUGACCAGCCACACUGGAACUGAGACACGGUCCAGAAUCCUACGGGAGGCAGCAGUGGGGAAUAUUGCACAAUGGGCGAAAGCCUGAUGCAGCCAUGCCGCGUGUAUGAAGAAGGCCGUCGGGUUGUAAAGUACUUUCAGCGGGGAGGCGUUACCCGCAGAAGAAGCACCGGCUAACUCCGUGCCAGCCGCCGCGGUAAUUC